AUCUUCAAGCUCCAGAAACAAACGCACCAAAAGUAGCAUAUGUGUACGGUCGCUCUCUUCCAUGGUGCUGCGUUCCUCAGCCCAAACCCUGGAGUCUCCACUCAUCAAGUGGGCCACAGAUGUUAUAAUAAAUGGACAGCAUAUAGAAGGUGUUAGCUGAAAGUCGAUAUUCAAGGGGACCACCUGGUGAACGUGCCCAACCACACACGUGUCAUUCCACGUAGUCACGUGUGGUGCGCUUGAAGGUGGAGGCCCUGUUCUCUACAGCUUUCUUCUCUCCCUCUGGAUACUGACAGCUCGUUACCGGUUCAAUCCGACUCGCCGCACUGCAAAAGAUUCUAAAAAUCGCCGACCCAGCGCCGUAUCCGAACAUCGCUCAAAGGCAGAAGCGAUACACGACCGAGUGAUUAGACGAGGAAGACGAAGAAGAGGGAAACCCUAAUCCUAAAAUUAGGGCUAUCGGCUUUCAAUUUCAGCACCCUUUUAUCAUCCUUUCAAAAACCCUAAAUCAGAAGAAAAAAAAAUAAUCAAGAAAUUACACCUACGGCGUCUCCCUCUCCAUGUAUGCAUGGCAUCCGAGCCGUUAAUCGGUGGAGGUACGGACGGCCCUCGCGACAAGCACAGAUGGGCCGAAAGCAAGGUGGUCUACACAAGAAAGUCCAACAAAGGCCCAAGGCCCACUACACAACGCUACCAGCCACCCUCCCCUCAAACCCUAACUCCCACCGAAGACGCCAACUCGUCUCACCAUCAGAUCCUCCGCUCUGCCGCGUCUGACGAUUCCUCGAGCCGCCACGUCACCCGGGACCCACCUCUAACGGCCCACCACAACGGCUUCGACUCGGCCCGCCGUGUCACCAUCAGCCUCUCCUCCCGUUCCAGGCAGGACCUGCGCGAUCUCCGCCGCAGGCUUGCUCGUGAGCUCGAUCAGGUCCGUUCGCUCGUCCGGAAGCUUGAGGCCCGUGAGGCCCACCUGACCGGCUACACGCACUCCCAGCUUUCCGCCAACAACAACAACAACCACAAUGUCAAUGCCGUCAAUCAGGUGCAUUCCGAGGUCGCGUCGGGCGGCCCUCGCCCACCUCACCAGCUCAGCGUCUCUGUCUUCUCCAACAGCCAGUGUGGCGCCACCAGCGAUAUUGUCGUAGACAAGGAGAAGCGGACCCCGAAGGCCAACCAGCACUACCGCAAUUCGGACUUCCUCCUUGGGAAGGACAGGUUCCCACCCCCAGACAAGAGGCCGAAAUCCAACGGCGGCAAGAAGCAUGGGGGCGAUAAUUACAGGGCGGCUGCAACUGACAGGGUCUUCAAGGACUGCAGCGCUUUGCUGUCGAAGCUGAUGAAGCACAAGCACGGCUGGGUCUUCAAUUCGCCGGUGGAUGUCAAAGGUCUCGGCUUGCAUGACUACUAUAGCAUCAUCAAGCGCCCGAUGGACCUUGGCACUGUGAAUGCCCGUCUCAGCAAGAACUGGUACAAGUCUCCAAGGGAGUUUGCGGAGGAUGUCAGACUGACGUUCCAGAAUGCCAUGAUGUAUAACCCCAAAAACCAGGACGUCCAUAUCAUGGCGGAGCAGCUGCUCAAGAUGUUUGAAGAUCGGUGGGCCGUUAUAGAGUCUGAGCAUAAUCUCCACCCAAGGAGGUUUGAUGUAGAGGACGCAGGUUGCUCCGUCGCCCGCAGGUUUGAUGCAGAAGAUAUGGAUCAAUCUGCCGCCCAUAAGAUGAGAAAAUCUCCUCCGCCCGAAUUGAAGCGGACUCUCGAUCGGUCGGAGUCGACUACGCUCCCUGUUGAUUCGAAACCGGUGGUGUCGGUGAGUUAUACGCCGACUGGGAGGGUGGCUGUACCGAAGAAGCCAAAAGCCAAGGACCCCAACAAGCGGGACAUGACGUAUGAGGAGAAGCAGAAGCUGAGCACAAACCUUGUGAAUUUGCCACCGGAGAAGCUGGAUAAUAUCGUUCAGAUCAUCAAGAAGAGGAAUUCAGACCUCAGCCAGCACGAUGAUGAGAUUGAGGUGGACAUUGAUAGCUUUGAUGCAGAGACUCUGUGGGAGCUUGACAGGUUUGUGACCAAUUAUAAGAAGAGCUUGAGCAAGAACAAGAAGAAGAAUGAGAUUGUGGUUCUGGCAAGAGAGGAAACUGCACCCAACAAUGUCGGAGAAGUGGAUCCAGUCCCUGAAGCUGUUGAGGCCCCAAAGGAAAGUAGAACAGUAGAUGAAAAGAAUGUCCUGUCUUCAUCACCUGUGCAAGGAGAAAAGAAAGGGGACAAUGCUAAUAGAUCGAGUAGUUCAAGCAGCUCUAGCAGUGAAUCUGGAUCUUCAAGUGAUUCUGACAGUGGAAGUUCCUCUGCAUCUGGAUCUGAUGCAGCGCAUUCACCAAGGACUUGAAUAACUUCAGGGCCUUUCAUGAGACAAAGUGCGCAGCUCUACCAUUUGGCCCACAUGCUGAUGUAGGACUUCUUUUACCAUGCAAUCAGACUCGUUCAUCUCGUCACCUGAACAUAGCCUAGGUGAUGGUGUGUUUGGAAAUUACAUUGUCUGCAUCCAACCCAAUUGCUGGAAAUGGCCAGUUACUGAUAUUCGCUCAGCUCACAUUUUUUAGCCAGUUUUUAUUGUUAAAAGAUUUCUAAUGGAUGGUAGGAGAUAUAGCCCAUGGUUUGAACCCUCUGGUGAUUCUUACAUGGACCUGCCUGAUCAGGAAGGGUGUGCGGUGGUGAUUCAAUCCCUGUUUAGAGGCCCUGCGGUGCAAAUGCAUGCCAAAAUCCAAUUAGUAGAUAGCUUUGACGGUGACUGGGUUUGUGCGGCCCGCAUGGAACACUGUAGUUGUAUUGGAAACCAUCAAUGGGUGAGGCCCAUGUUGAUUGUUGUCUUUGUUAUGCUUUUCCUAUUUUGCCAAUCUGUAUGUAAUUCUAGGGAAUGUGAUCUGAACAGCAUGUGUGUGUGUUUUUCUUUUUCUUUUUUGCAAUCACUCCUGCCCAAGUAGCAGUGUACAUCAUAUUCGUUGCUGGCAGAGGAAUUGGAAGGUCCUGAUGAAUUAGAACCGGAUGCAUCCAAGUGGGACCCAUGUGGUGACCCAGACUGUUGAUAACAUUGGUCCCACCGUGGAUGGAGGAAGUUACCGGAAUAUUUUGGAUCAGAUGAUCCUAUA